rnacentral:rRNA from 1 species
UACAGAGGUGGCAAGCGUUGUUCGGAAUUACUGGGCGUAAAGGGCGCGUAGGCGGCCUUCUAAGUCAGACGUGAAAUCCCCAGGCUUAACUUGGGAACUGCGUCUGAUACUGGAGGGCUCGAGUCCGGGAGAGGGAUGUGGAAUUCCAGGUGUAGCGGUGAAAUGCGUAGAUAUCGGGAGGAACACCGGUGGCGAAGGCGGCAUCCUGGACCGACACUGACGCUGAGGCGCGAAAGCCAGGGGAGCAAAC